AGCGAGAUGGCGCAGCUGGUAGCGCGCUGGGCUCAUAUCGACACACGUGUUGUGAAAGUCACCCAGAGGUCGUCGGAUCGAAACUGACUCUCGCUA